rnacentral:rRNA from 1 species
CACGUAAGAGGCAAGCGUUAUUCGUCAUUAAUGGGUCUAAAGGGUACGUAGGCGGUAUAGUAAAUCCUAUUGAAAACACGUGAGAGUGGAUUUGAUAAUGCUGUACUAGAGUUUAAAGGGAGUAACAAAUACACCGAGUGUAGUGUAUCAAUACGAGGAUAUUCGGAGGGUUGCGAAGUGGCGAAGGCAUGUUACUAUAGUAGACUGACGCUGAGGUACGAAGGCAUGGGCAUCGAACGGGAUUAGAAAACCCUUGUAGUCCAACGAAC